rnacentral:rRNA from 1 species
CGUGGGUAACCUACCCAUCAGAGGGGGAUAACACUUGGAAACAGGUGCUAAUACCGCAUAACAGUUUAUGCCGCAUGGCAUAAGAGUGAAAGGCGCUUUCGGGUGUCGCUGAUGGAUGGACCCGCGGUACAUUAGCUAGUUGGUGAGGUAACGGCUCACCAAGGCCACGAUGCAUAGCCGACCUGAGAGGGUGAUCGGCCACACUGGGACUGAGACACGGCCCAG